UACGUAUGGUGCAAGCGUUAUCCGGAUUUACUGGGUGUAAAGGGAGCGCAGGCGGCACGGCAAGCCUGAUGUGAAAGCCCGCGGCCCAACCGCGGGACUGCAUUGGGAACUACCGGGCUGGAGUGCCGGAGAGGUAGGCGGAAUUCCUAGUGUAGCGGUGAAAUGCGUAGAUAUUAGGAAGAACACCAGUGGCGAAGGCGGCUUUCUGGACUGAAACUGACGCUGAGGCACGAAAGCGUGGGGAGCGAACAGG
rnacentral:rRNA from 1 species